GAACCUUACCAGGUCUUGACAGUCCCUCGACGAACCCGACGAGAUCGGCGGUUCCCCUUCGGGGGACGAGGGUGGACAGGUGGUGCAUGGUUGUCGUCAGCUCGUGUCGUGAGAUGUUGGGUUAAGUCCCGCAACGAGCGCAACCCUUGUCUUUAAUUGCCAUCAUUGAGUUGGGCACUUUAAAGAGACUGCCGGUGUUAAACCGGAGGAAGGUGGGGAUGACGUCAAGUCCUCAUGGCCUUUAUGCCCAGGGCUACACACGUGCUACAAUGGGUGGUACAAAGAGCAGCCAGCUCGCGAGAGUGAGCAAAUCUCAAAAAGCCAUCCUCAGUUCGGAUUGAAGUCUGCAACUCGACUUCAUGAAGUUGGAAUCGCUAGUAAUCGCGGAUCAGCAUGCCGCGGUCGAAUACGUUCCCGGGCCUU
rnacentral:rRNA from 1 species